rnacentral:rRNA from 1 species
GACGAACGCUGGCGGCGUGCCUAAUACAUGCAAGUAGAACGCACAGUUUAUACCGUAGCUUGCUACACCAUAGACUGUGAGUUGCGAACGGGUGAGUAACGCGUAGGUAACCUGCCUGGUAGCGGGGGAUAACUAUUGGAAACGAUAGCUAAUACCGCAUAAUAUUGAUUAUUGCAUGAUAAUUAAUUGAAAGGUGCAAUUGCACCACUACCAGAUGGACCUGCGUUGUAUUAGCUAGUAGGUGAGGUAACGGCUCACCUAGGCGACGAUACAUAGCCGAACGGCGAGGGUGAUCGGCCACACUGGGACUGAGACACGGCACAGAGGCAUACGGGAGGCAGCAGUAGGGAAUCUUCGGCAAUGGACGAAAGUCUGACCGAGCAACGCCGAGGGAGGGAAGAAGGUUUUCGGAUCGUAAAGCUCGGUUGUAAGAGAAGAACGGGUGUGAGAGUGGAAAGUUCACACUGUGACGGUAUCUUAUCAGAAAGGGACGGCUAACUACGUG